GAAGUAGUCUCCCUGGCUAAACCUCCAAUAAAAAUUUUCCCAGGACUGGCUCCAUCCCCAGUGUGAGAUUGAGACUUAAUCUCAUUGGCGUUGUGGUCGGUUUCUCCUACAGCAAGUGCAUCUUGGUCUUGCGGGUCCAUGGCUUGAAGAUUUAAAGGAUGAUUACUGGAAUGGUAAAGCAGAGAGCUUGGACGAAGAAGGAGAAGAAGAAAAAGAAAAGCAAGCCCUAGAAAAUUUGGGAAUUGAAAAUUAGCAGAGUUCGAAACUGAAAAGCCCUAAAAAUGUUG
rnacentral:misc_RNA from 1 species